rnacentral:lncRNA from 1 species
GCCAAAAUUACUUAUGAGAAGGAGCAGAAGCAAAAGCUACUAAAGCAUAUGCGAGGUGAAGAUACAUGGAUGCUUGCUGAUGUGAACAAACGUGUGGAACAACUGGAAAAGGAACAUUCUGUGCCAAAGAAAAAGAAAAAGGAUAAACAUUCAAGAAAACUGAAGAAAGAAAAGAAGAAAAGCAAAAAACAAAAAUCUGAAAAGAAGGAUGACUUCCUUGAUAGUUCUUCAGAUUCUUCAGUUGAAUGGGUUGAGUCAAAUGUGUUGCAGUCAGAUAAUACAGAAAAGGCUUGGAAGGUCAACGAGCAAUCAGAUACUAUGAAAGAACCUUCCCUACAGGUGGUUUUUCUACAAGUGAGUGGAGUUUUGCUUCUGUGAUGCUUGAACAGAUAUAAGGAAGUAAGGGAGGUGCCAAACUUUUCAGCAGCAGUAUUUAUGGAAUCAAGGCCUCUUUUGGUCUUCCUAGGUGGAUUCUGUGCAUGAUAAGUAAUGUUUAUUCUGGAAAACUGAGUCAUUCUGAAUUGAGCUGCUGUGAUUUUAAUAACAUAAGUGUAGUCACAUAUUCAUAACAUUUUCUUUCGGUUGUAUUAAAACAAUUAUUUUGAAUUUAGUAUCUAAUUUAGUGUCUAAGUUUACGCAGAAGGGCGCAUGAAGGCACCUUCAUUUCUGAUCCCUGUGGUGUAUGCUUCCUCAAGUAUGGUUGUGACACACCGCAGAGCACAUUCCCCAGUGGCUGUUGGAGUUGCUGUGUCAGAGGCUUGGACCCAGACCGACCCUCUGACAGCAGAUGCAGCUCUACAGGUCCCAGGCUGCAGGGAGUGCUUGGGGCCUCUC